UACGUAGGUGGCAAGCGUUGUCCGGAUUUACUGGGCGUAAAGAGCUCGUAGGCGGUUUGUCGCGUCUGCUGUGAAAACUCGGGGCUUAACCCCGGGUCUGCAGUGGGUACGGGCAGACUAGAGUGCGGUAGGGGAGACUGGAAUUCCUGGUGUAGCGGUGAAAUGCGCAGAUAUCAGGAGGAACACCGGUGGCGAAGGCAAUCCCCUGGGCCUGCACUGACGCUCAUGCACGAAAGCGUGGGGAGCAAACAGG
rnacentral:rRNA from 1 species